UACGUAGGGUGCGAGCGUUAAUCGGAAUUACUGGGCGUAAAGCGUGCGCAGGCGGUUAUGUAAGACAGAUGUGAAAUCCCCGGGCUUAACCUGGGAACUGCGUUUGUGACUGCAUAACUAGAGUACGGCAGAGGGGGGUGGAAUUCCUGGUGUAGCAGUGAAAUGCGUAGAUAUCGAGAGGAACACCAGUGGCGAAGGCGAGUCUCUGGACAAUUCCUGACACUGAUGCUCGAAAGCUAGGGGAGCAAACGGG
rnacentral:rRNA from 1 species